GGAUACAUUGUCCAGAGAGCAAACCCACCCUGUGUCAACGCAGUCAUCUUUCAGACACAGUCCGGUCUUUUCUGCAUCAAUGCGAGAGCUCCCUGGGUUCGUGCCAAGAUUGUUGCAUUCAAGAAAGCAAGAGCUCAGCUUACGACUGCGUCUGAGGUCUCCUCAUAGAAGAUGACUGAUGGUGAAACCUUU